rnacentral:rRNA from 1 species
CAGCCGCCGCGGGAAUACGUAGGGUGCAAGCGUUAAUCGGAAUUACUGGGCGUAAAGCGUGCGCAGGCGGUUAUAUAAGACAGAUGUGAAAUCCCCGGGCUCAACCUGGGAACUGCAUUUGUGACUGUAUAGCUAGAGUACGGCAGAGGGGGAUGGAAUUCCGCGUGUAGCAGUGAAAUGCGUAGAUAUGCGGAGGAACACCGAUGGCGAAGGCAAUCCCCUGGGCCUGUACUGACGCUCAUGCACGAAAGCGUGGGGAGCAAACAGGAUUAGAGACCCCAGUAGUCCCUGUCUCUUAUAC